GAAGAGUUCACAUUCUAAGAAUGCUGUGAUUUAGAGGGAAGACAUAGUUGGAAGAUAUGUUGUUCUAUGUUUAUUUUAUUGAAUUUUGAGGGAUAAAUUUAACAUGGCUAGAAAACAAAUUUUUGUCCAUAUUUUUCUUUAUUACUGUGGGUAAAUUUUACAUUUAUGGCCUUCACCAAUGAAGUGCAAUAACAACCUUUAAGAUAAUCUGUUAGAAGCCAGCUUCACAGGCAGUGCGAUAGAUGAUGCAGCAUCAUGAGGAAUGAUAUAACUAGCUCUAAAUAAACAGCAUUAGGGGACUGCAAAGGCAAACACAUCUAUGUUAUUUCAAUACAAAGAGAUUCUGAGUAGCUAGGGCAUUGAGAAAAAGUACAUGGCUAUUUUUUUCACGGUGAGAAAUAUGGCAUUGAUGGGCCUGAACAGAAAGACCUGGUGCCUAGGCACUCUGAAGAGCCUUCACAUGCACUGAUUGGACACCUGCUUCCUCACCUGUGCCUGCUGCCUCACCAGGUGUAAUUCUUAAGAAUUGUUUGUAUUAAGCUGGCUUGUUUCUUGGCUAGAUGGGUGUUCCUAUUCCAUCAUUUUUCCAUCCUAAUAUGUUGUGGUUCUCUGUUUUAUGUCUUCUGGAUUUAUAAAAAUGGAGAUUGUACUUCUGUUUCUUAUUCACAUUGUUGUGUUAAUUUUAGAGCAUAAAAUGGAAAUGUUUACUAUUCUUAAUUGAUCUGAAGUAUUCACCUCUCAAGUCAUUAUUCCUUAUAAUAAAAGCAUGACGAGAAACUCUG